CCGGCCUUCGCGAGCUUCCUUCUGGAUUCCAGCGCGAAGCCGCCGCGGAAACUCCCCGGGCGGGCAUCGGAGCUCUGGGGCGGGGCGGCCGGGCUCAGAGGGCGGGCGGGAGCAGGCGGGCGGCGAGGGCGGGCAGCAGCAGCGGGAGCAGGGGCGCCCCGGGCGCCGGGGCCGCUGGGGACGAACGCGGCGGGUCAGGCCCCGAAGCCCGGGCCGCGGUGGCCGCCUCAGGCGCCCGCUCUGGGGUGGGGGUGGGGGCAUCUUUCGGGACCGAACUCGCCGCAGCCUCCCUCUUUGUGCUCCUUUCCCCUGCUGCCCUUCCAGAUGCGCUCUUUCCAGAAAGGCAGCACACGCAUGUCUCUGCCGUGGCCCCAGAUCCUCCCCGCGCCGCCGUUUUGAGCGUUCACACUCAUUACCCAGGUCCGUCUGGGAGACCCGCCGGGCUCCCGCCCUCCCGGCCCGCAGCCUCCUGGCCAAAAUCCUCCCGGGACACCCCACCUGGACUGCUGCGAACGGGCCUCCACCCGCCUCCCCGGACCCGCAGCGCCCCCCGCUCCCUCAGGGUUCUGGGGUGAAGGGGUCUGAAUAGCACCAGGGGAGGCGGCAGGGCGGGCCUGUCCUACCUGCGCCCGAGCACUGCUGAGACGACAUCCCUUCCAGCGCCGCCACGUAGUCCAGCCCCAGCCAGCCGCGAUAUCUCCCCACAAACCUAAACAAUUUCGAGAGGGACUUGUGUUCUGCAACCAGUCACAGAAUAUCAGGUGAGCUGGGCGUGUCUUCACUGACCCACCCGCCCAGGGAUGCUGCACUCCUCUCCACCCUGCUCAGAAUCACUAGAAUGACCGUUCUGUGGCUACAGCCCUAAAAGAGCUACUAAAAAGACCAGAAGUAGUAUGAGAACUUAUGAAUACGAAUAUAAAUAAAGGACAUCUGGAGAACA
rnacentral:lncRNA from 1 species